GUUCUCAACUCUGGAUAUCAUGGGCCUGUUGCACCCAUGAGCUCACCAACAGUGGCUAUGACUGCAUUUAUGAGAAGACUGCACAUGAUCAAUGUAGCCGAAUAUCCCAGUGUGGAUGGGAAAGGCCUCGUGACAUCUCACAUCUAGGCAGCUGCAAUUGCUGUGAGAUCACGAGUCAGAAGUCCUGUCAUGUCCAGAAGAUGCUGCUUGACAGAAGUUCCUUGUCCCUUACGAUGUUUCUUACCCCUUUCUGUGAUGCUCCCUGAGCCUUGGGGGAAGGGUGUGUGAUAUCCAUGUCCCAUCUGUGGCUGAGUGUUCUGUUGCCAGCCACAUCACCUAGUACUCUACAUAUCAGAGCCCUGCAAUGGUGGGACCUGGUGGAUUACAGUUUCCUGCUGGAAAACUUGCAGCAGAUGGUGAGCUCCCAGCUCUCAGCGUUGGAUCUUUCAACAAGCCUCAGACACAGCAUUGUUUGCUGCAAGCACUUACAGUCAGUCCGAACUCGGCAGUAGCCCACAUCCUGCCAGUCUUUACCACCACACCUGGGCAUGUUUUGUUUGCUUUUCUGUAUUUGCGUCAAAUUCUGUAACUGAUAAAAAGAAUUCCAGUAUACUUUCCCAGACUGUAUUAAUCAGCCAAUUAAACUACAGGAUUACUCUGUAUUGCUCUACUUAAACAGGGAAAUCAAAGGGCAUUAAAAAAAUGUUUGCUUGAACUCAGGGUUCAGCUGGU
rnacentral:lncRNA from 1 species